AGCCCGGUAGUGUAGCUGGUCAAUCAUGGAAGGCUCUGGACCUUUCGACGGCGGUUCGAAUCCGCCCCGGGCUA
rnacentral:tRNA from 1 species